rnacentral:lncRNA from 1 species
GGUAAAAGUGAUUUGAAAGCAAACUCAUUUUAAAUGAGGAAUCUGAUAAAAAAAAAUGAGUGUUAUUCUUCAUAAUUAUAAUAUGAUCAUUAUAGUAUAAUAUUAUUAAUAAUAAUAUCUCAAUGUGAUCAAUGGCUUGGUUCCCAGUCUGUGAAAAGUAAGGAAAACGAAGUUCUGGAGGAGACACUUCGAACAAUGAGGGACUGGCGGCGAAAAGCAUUCCCAAGCAAAUCGGUUAACCAUGGGUCCCAUUUUACCUCAAAGAUUGAGCCUGAAAUGAAGGUCUGGAAAAGGUUGAUCCCAGUCACUUUUGGGAAUGAAGAAUUCACUGAACUAUGGAGAAGUACUUUCUUGAAUGAUUUUGAAGGAAAACUAAAAAAGGUAUUUAUUAUGCUUUAAAUCAAUUGUAAAAUAUAUUUAAAUUCACUGUAAACAUAUAAUACAUUUAACGGGGCA